CGCUGAACUUAAGCAUAUCACUAAGCGGAGGAAAAGAAACUAACCAGGAUUCCCUGAGUAACUGCGAGUGAACAGGGAAAAGCCCAACACCGAAGCCUAA
rnacentral:rRNA from 1 species